rnacentral:rRNA from 1 species
GGNUAGGCAUGCAAGUCGUACGUGAUCCUCGCUUCGGUGAGGUGAAAGUGGCGAACGGGUGAGUAAUGCAUAGCUAACCUACCCUUGGGGCUGGGAUAACCAGGAGAAAUCUUGGCUAAUACCGGAUAGGCUCGCGGAGCGGCAUCGUUCUGCGAGUAAAGCAGGCCUCUUAACAAUGCUUGCACCCGGGGACGGGACUAUGUCCUAUCAGCUAGUUGGUAGGGUAAUGGCCUACCAAGGCGAUGACGGGUAGCCGACCUGNAGAGGGUGACCGGCCACACUGGGACUGAGACACUGCCCAGACUCCUACGGGAGGCUGCAGUCGAGAAUCUUCCCGCAAUGGGGGCAACCCUGACGGAGCGACGCCGCGUGCGGGAUGAAGGCCUUCGGGUUGUAAACCGCUGUCACGCAUUAUGAAGGGGCCGGCGUUAACAGCGCUGGACUUUGACAAAGGUGCGGGAGGAAGCCACGGCUAACUCUGUGCCAGCAGCCGCGGUAAGACAGAGGUGGCGACCGUUGUUCGGAAUCACUGGGCAUAAAGCGCGUGUAGGCG